rnacentral:rRNA from 1 species
AGUGAACGCUGGCGGCAGGCCUAACACAUGCAAGUCGAACGGCAGCACAGUAAGAGCUCGCCCCUACCGGUGGCGAGUGGCGGGUGGGUGACGCAUACAUAGGAAUCCACUUUUUCGUGGGUGAUAACGGGGGGAAACAUACGCUAACAGCGCAUACGUCGUACGGGAGAGAGCAAUAGAUAUACAGAUCUUGCGCGACAGUAAGAGACGGUGUCGGGUUAGCUAGUUGGGGGGGUAAAGGCACACCAAGCCAACGCUACGUAGCUGGUCUGAGAGGAUGAUCAGCCACACUGGAACUGAGACACGGUCCAGACUCCUACGGGAGGCAGCAGUGGGGAAUAUUGGACAAUGGGCGCAAGCCUGAUCCAGCCAUACCGCGUGGGUGAAGAAGGUCUUCGGAUUGUAAAGCCCUGUUAUUGGGAAAGAAAAGCAGCAUGUUAAUACCCCGCUGUUCUGACGGUACCCAAAGAAUAAGCACCGGCUAACUUCGUG